rfam:Sus scrofa chromosome 7.
UCCCUGGUGGUCCAGUGGUUAGGAUUUGGCACUUUCACCGCUAUGGCGUAGGUUCAAUCCUUGGUCUGGGAA